rnacentral:lncRNA from 1 species
AUUAGUACAGUUUAUUUGUUAAAGUCUCCCCUAUUUCAAGGUUCGACUACACUGACCUCUGUACCUUAUCAUUUAAAUAUCUCCCUGUACAGGGAUUCAACGCCUAUUCCGUUUGUCUCUAAUGAAACUAGACUCGAUAAUGAAUUUUUAAAUAUAACGAACAACCUCUAAUUAUCUCGAUAAAAUUUACGGUGAAUUUUCUAAGUCAAAACAGGGGAUCCAGAAAUCGCUCUAGCCCUGUUUCACAAGAAUUUAAUUAACUC